rnacentral:rRNA from 1 species
ACAUGCAGUCGAGGGGCAGCGGGGGUAGCAAUACCCGCCGGCGACCGGCGCACGGGUGAGUAACGCGUAUGCAACUUACCUAUCAGAGGGGGAUAACCCGGCGAAAGUCGGACUAAUACCGCAUGAAGCAGGGGCCCCGCAUGGGGAUAUUUGCUAAAGAUUCAUCGCUGAUAGAUAGGCAUGCGUUCCAUUAGGCAGUUGGCGGGGUAACGGCCCACCAAACCGACGAUGGAUAGGGGUUCUGAGAGGAAGGUCCCCCACAUUGGUACUGAGACACGGACCAAACUCCUACGGGAGGCAGCAGUGAGGAAUAUUGGUCAAUGGCCGAGAGGCUGAACCAGCCAAGUCGCGUGAGGGAUGAAGGUUCUAUGGAUCGUAAACCUCUUUUAUAAGGGAAUAAAGUGCGGGACGUGUCCCGUUUUGUAUGUACCUUAUGAAUAAGGAUCGGCUAACUCCGUGCCAGCAGCCGCGGUAAUACGGAGGAUCCGAGCGUUAUCCGGAUUUAUUGGGUUUAAAGGGUGCGUAGGCGGCCUUUUAAGUCAGCGGUGAAAGUCUGUGGCUCAACCAUAGAAUUGCCGUUGAAACUGGGGGGCUUGAGUAUGUUUGAGGCAGGCGGAAUGCGUGGUGUAGCGGUGAAAUGCAUAGAUAUCACGCAGAACCCCGAUUGCGAAGGCAGCCUGCCAAGCCAUUACUGACGCUGAUGCACGAAAGCGUGGGGAUCAAACAGGAUUAGAUACCCUGGUAGUCCACGCAGUAAACGAUGAUCACUAGCUGUUUGCGAUACACUGUAAGCGGCACAGCGAAAGCGUUAAGUGAUCCACCUGGGGAGUACGCCGGCACGGUGAAACUCAAGGAAUU